GGAUGUAGACGUUGCAGAUGCUUUUGUCUGUCGAACCAUUUGCACCUAUCACCCCAACUGCCUCUUCUUUACUUUCUAUACCAAUGAUUGGAAUAUAGAAUCGCAAAGAAAUGUGUGUUUACUAAGACUUCCAAAAGUGGGAUAUCAAGUUCCCCUGCUCCUCAGGAAAACACCGUGUCUGGAUAUAGCCUUCUAACCUGCACACGAACUUUACCUGAGCCCUGCCAUUCAAAACUUUACGCAGGAGUUGAUUUUGGAGGGGAAGAACUGAGCGUGUCCCUCGUUAAAGGAGCGAGUGGUUGCCAGGAGACCUGCACGAAGAUGGUGCGCUGUCAGUUUUUCACUCACUCUUUUCUCCCAGAA